rnacentral:lncRNA from 1 species
CGAUACAAAAGAAACAUUCAACCCCAUAAGUUAUAAGGUGAAGCUUAGGUAAAUCUCAGUAGAUAAACUUUGUAAAUUUUGAAAAAAAUAAGUUUUCGAUUUAAUUUUAAAACGUAAAGUUCUGUCUAGACAUGAAUUCGAACUCCAAAAAGAGAGAUAAAAGAUACUGAUAAGACAAAACAAGAUGACAAUGCUAUUACAAAAACGACAAACGACC